UACGUAGGUGGCAAGCGUUGUCCGGAAUUACUGGGUGUAAAGCGCGUGUAGGCGGGAGGCCAAGUCUGCUGUGAAAUCGCUCGGCUCAACUGGGCGGGUCGGUGGAAACUGGUCACCUGGAGGACGGUAGAGGCGAGUGGAAUUCCCGGUGUAGUGGUGAAAUGCGUAGAGAUCGGGAGGAACACCUGUGGCGAAGGGCGGCCCCCUGGGCCGCGCCUGACGCUGAGACGCGAAGGCUAGGGGAGCGAACCGG
rnacentral:rRNA from 1 species